UGUAACAUGCAGUAACUCAGUACAGAUAAUAUAUUAAUAUUUAUGUCAAUGAUUAUUUCUGCAAGAAUGAAUUAAAUCCAUAAAUGUAUAAAAACCAAGAAUAAAGUGCUAAUGAAAUUUCAACUCAAAAUAAAUCAGACGGAUAAAUGAAUGCGUAAUGAGCACGAAAUUGAAAUUUUAGAUAAAAGCGAGCGAGAUAAAUUAAUAAACCUGUUUUCGUUAUAAAAAUAACGAUAGUAACGAUUGCGUAAUCCUACUGCUCUUAUUUUUAUACAUUUGAUAUAAGCGCGUAGAAAAAUAUAGUAAUAAUUCGAUUUUAUACCAGCAGCUAUACGCGUUCCUCACACACACACAUUGUCCCGCGUCCUAGUUUUCGUAUCUCUUUUUUCACUCCCCUAUUUUCGCCCCCUAAACGCGCAUCCAAUAUCCUUUAAUAAGUGCGGAUAAUACAUAUCCAUAGCCGGACGACGCGCGUACAUUCUUGCUACUUUAUAUCGAAGUAGAUGUGUGUUCUACUAGCUUUUGGAGGCGCGUAGGCGUAUUUUUCGUCGUGUGAAAACGAAAUCAUCCCUCAUAUCCCAACCUGAAAAACCAACCGAUUUCUACCUACCUACACUCGAUCAGCGAAAGCGUUUUUAUCGAUGAGCGCCCUUUUCUUCCUCGCAAUAUUCAACAAAAGUAUUUCGCCACGUUUUAAUACAUUUCUUUGAAAAUUUAUUUCUUACGUGUAAAUUCCCGUAAAGGAUUUAUCGCGUUUGCGGGAAGAAUAAUGUAUGGCAAAGACUUUUUCCUUUUCACGCGGCCGUUUACGCCGGGUACUACAAUAGUAAUCCUUCUAACGGCGAAAUCGCGAGAAGAACAGCGGAUAUAAAUGAUUCAUAUCCCGACGAGAGGAUGAUGAAUCCGCCCAGCGGUAAAACGCGUUUUUACCGAUACGAGCGUGUUGGUUACACCACAGCACGGAGAAAGAACUCCCGAGUCCCGAGUAUCGUUUUAGAAAAGGCAGAGAGAACCCGUUUCCCGAAAAUGCAAGGGGAAACCAAUCUGCUCCGCGAAGGGGCUGCAUUUCCUUUUCAUUGUGCCCUUCACGCGAAUACUCGUGUCUUCCCGGUGUGUGACCAAUAUCAAAGACACGGUUUAUGUCAAAGGACGUAACACACAUAUAUAUAUAUAUAUAUAUAUGCGUGUGCCGUCUUGCCUUCGAAAAAAAGAGUGAUCUCACGCGUACGUCGUGACGCGAUCUCGUCAAUCUUGUUAAUCGUAAGUAGAGCAACUAUAGUGAAGAAAGAAAGAAAGAGAACGCGCGAGAGUAAUUAGCUGAAUCGGGGUAACUCUAAAAUAGAUCGUAGCGAAUUUUUUACCAUCCAUGUCGGUAACGCGGAUGAUAUACGCGCCUAUACUCUUUGUCACUUUUUCCCCCGCGUACACGGAGGGGGGGGGAGGGGGAGGGGGGGGCAGGUGUACGGAUACACGAGAGCUAAGAAUAUUCCUCGCUAAAUGUGAUAGUAGAGUGAGUCUAUCUCUUCCGGCAGACGUUGUAGAAGCAAUAAAAAGCGAGCCGAAGGCAGCGAGCCGAGGAUUAAAGCGUAACUAAAGCGAUUGCUUUACCCGUACGCUCAUCCCUCACCAAUCCCGGACUCGCUUCUUCAUCCCCGAAGAAAAAAAAAAAGAACGAAAGAAAGAGAGAAAAAAAAGGAUCCUCUAUUCGCCGAAAAGGUACGCUCGAAGAAUCGAGGAGGUGGCUAUUAACCCUCUCCUCUCUCCCUCCCUCCCUCCUUCACGAUCGGCCCUUUUCCCCUCCUCCUAUCCCUCGUAUGAUUUUUCGGGGGUGUGCCCAAAGAAUAAACGAAGUAUAUACACCACCCCUUCCCUUUCGCACUCCGCGCUCCUUUCCAGGCGCUUUCUCCGUGCGAUCAUCCUCAUCUCCCUCCCCCCAUCAUUCUCCGAAAUCCCCCAUUUCUCGAUCGUAACGAUCGAUUCGACAUAACCCGAGUGCCUUAAUCCGAUCUCUAUGCCCAUCUUACUCUUCACGUGUAACGAAAGAAAGAAAUGGAUGGGAAGACCCCCUGGGACGCUCGCGAUUUAGACGCAUAUUAAUUUCUAUAGGCAGUAGAAUUGAGUGUCGAUUGCUAGAGAGAACGCGAGAACAAGGCUGGCGAACCGAGGCGGCUGUUCCGAGGGACGGUGCAACACGGCGGAACCAGUGUACCUUUACUCCUCGCUGUUAAUACGAAGAGAAGACGUAUCACGUAUUGUAUAGUAAAUGUCGCUCGUAGUAUUAGCGAUAGAGACUCGUCGAUGGUGUAGGCGUAGUUAUGUGCAUAAUUGCGACUUUUGGAGUUAAUCUCUGGACAGAGUCGGUCUCGAAAGUCGUCGGGUUCGCGAUCGCGGGAAACGACUCGGGGGAAAUCGGGAUUUUCUCGAGGGAAGUUUCCCGCGUGAGAAACCUACUUACCAAAGAGACACAUUGUGAUAGAUAUACAAAGAUCUCAAAGCGAAAAACCGUAAGAGACGGUGUUGUUGAUUCGACGAAACAUGUCGGUUCCGAGACUUCCUCGAUUCCGAUUCUGGACAUUACGUUAUUGACUGAUACUCAGCGUGGAGACGAUCGCGUUUCGAUCGUGAUUUCAAGAAGACGGAGACAUCAGGGAAAUCGCUUGAAGAAAAAAAGAGAAGGCAACAUACGAUUCAAAUUCAAAAAUCGCGCAAGUAGAAUUUUCAGUAGUCUAUGGUGGUUCAGUAGUAAAACCCGGUAUUAUAUAUAUAUAUAUAUAUAUAUGUCAAAAUGGAAUGUUACGUUUUUUUUUCCCGCACUAUUUAUCGCACUUUGAUGUAGGAUACGCCGGGAUGUUUGACAAUUUUGUGAUUCAUACGACAGUCGAUGGAAACGUAUCGUUCCCACGGCGUUAGUCUACUAUUAUAAAAUACUGUCGUGUCGGGGCUACUCGUUGAUAGGAAAACGCCUGUAUCGAGGCUACAACGAGGACGCACCGUGCAUGUGUAACGAUUUGUAUAUACUAACAUAUUUCUGGGCGGCCGUCUCGGGUUCGCGAUGGAUUUUCAAUGGGAAUCUGUGCCAUACUGCAUUCAAAGUUCCGAAAAUAAAAUUAGAAAAUAUUUUCUAGGGAAGAAAAAGUAUCUCUGAAAGUAAAUUUAGAUAAAAUAAUAUUUAUUCUCGGUGACAACAAUUUUUUUCUGUCUUUUGCGUUAUUUUUUAAAUUUCCAUAGUUACGAGAUUUCGAAUACUUCAUACGUUACGAAUAUUUACGAUCUGCUUAAGAGGGUCUGUGUAUGAAUAUAUGAAACGUGUCAUGAUUGAUGCAUCCUAUCGCGAUGCGAGACGGUCGUGUCAUAAGAGGCAGUGAGGCCUUACGUAAUCGCAUGUGUGAUUUAAACAAAUAUAUAUCAUUAAAUAUCUGUAAUGGUUCAUCGUUAUUGCUGUCAUCCAACACCACUGUCACCAAUCAUCUUUCAUCACCAUCAUUCUCAUCAUCAUCAGUACUGACACAUUUACCAGCAAGUGAGAUUGUUGAAAAAAAAAAAAA